rnacentral:rRNA from 1 species
GACGUAGGGGGCCAGCGUUGUUCGGAAUUACUGGGUGUAAAGGGUUCGUAGGCGGUGCGGCAAGUUGGGAGUGAAAUCUCUGGGCUUAACCCAGAGGCUGCUUCCGAAACUGCUGUGCUUGAGUGUGGGAGAGGCGCGUGGAAUUGCAGGUGUAGCGGUGAAAUGCGCAGAUAUCAGGAAGAACACCCGUGGCUAAGGCGGCUCUCUAGUACGGUACUGACGCUGAGACGCGAAAGCGUGGGGAGCAAACAGG